rnacentral:lncRNA from 1 species
UUCGGGAGUAGCGCGGGAGGACAGGAGGCGCAGGUUGUGAGGGACGCAGGCCCUGGGGCUUCGGUCUCUGUCCUCCGAGCUCAGAGCCUCCAGGCUUCUUCCCGGCCGCGCGCUCAGCACUCACUGUCUUACGGUCCCGAAGCGCUUUAAGGUGCGCAGUCCGCAGGCCUUGCCUACUGAUCUUCCAGCCACCCCUUGAAGGAAGCAGUUGCAGAGGCAUAGAGCCGGCCAUCUCGCACAAUGUCUUCUACCAGCUGCUCAUAGUCCUCUGCAAAGUCAACCAAGACGCUGAGCACAGUGCCAAACCUAUAUAGAAACUCAUUUGGGAUAUGGAGGAGAAUAUGCCACCAGUUCUCCAAAGUGGAGGGGUGAAGCCAUGCCUCCCUUUCCCUCACCUGUGUAAACUGGGUAUGAAGACAGAGGACACCAGGAAAGAAGCCAGAGAAAGAGGAACAGUGAUGAAGGUAAGGAUGGAGAUUGGUCACAUUGGUCGGAUAGGUAACUGGGGGUUGCAGCUGGUUGCAAUGAGCAGCCAGGGAAUGUAGGAACCUGGGAAGUGGCUCUGGGUGCAGGCAGAGCUAUGGCCAUGGUGCUGAGGUUGGAGGGGCAGGGUGGGGAAAGGCAGCUGAGCCUCACCUCCUUGUGGAGCAGGGACCAUUUCUGUGGACAGGCCACAGCCCUGUCCUUCCUCCCCUCCCCCCUGUGCCUGGGCUUGCUGCCAUAUUCCCUAGCCUUUCUCCUAUUUUGGCUUAACAAAACAAAGUCUGACAACUUGGCGGGGAGGGAUCUGGGGAGAGCUGCCAGGCCACACCCUAGAUGGUGGGGGUGGGGGGCAGGGAGAACAGUAGGCUCUCACCCCCAAAUCACCACCCCUAGGUUCUAGAGCCAAGCUCACCCUGGAGCCCCCAAUUCAACACCUUGAUUCCAUCUCUAUGCUAGCUACUGCCCUCCCAAGUCCAUGGCCCUUCUCAGUUUGCCUUGGCCCAGGAGGCAUCACGUAGAUUGGUUGUCAAAUGGAGCAGCUAGAAUCUGGGCUCCUGAGGGCUUCAUCUGCCCCUCUCUUCCCAUCCUCUCUGCUGAGAUCCUGCAACCUUCUCUUCCCCUUCUGGCCAGGGCAGAGAGGCCCAGAUCCAGCUGGCUCUUGCCCAAGAGAUGCACCUGUUGGAAGAGCUAAGGUGUACUUUCCUGUGCUUUGCUCCUGUCUCUACCCUGUCUUUUGCUGUUCUCUUGACUUCUCCCCAUCCCUGUCUUCCUGCUCUUGCCACAUUCUACAUGCCAUCCUUCUGUCUGCUCCCUUACUAUCUAACCUUGUGGCUUUGCUACUCUAGCCAAGCUCUUUCCUCCAAUUCUCAGUGGGGAAGCUAAGGCCCAGAGCAUGGACAACUUUCUCAAAAUUCCCCUAAGAGCCAAAGGUAGUAUUGAGACUUUGAACCCUAACCCUAGGUAAUCUUUGUCCCUUGACCCUCUCUAUACCUAAUCAUUCUCUUGUCCCUCUGGUUGGUUCUCCCCAAAACACUUAUAGGGAAAUGAGAUGUGGUGACAAUCAGGGGCCUAGAAAAGUCAAAGGCAGCCAAAGAACUCAGAAGCUUAUGUGCAUGUCCUGUAGGCAACUCACUGUCCUGGUCUAAGUGCCACAGCUUCCCUUCCCAAAGGAGUUUCAUAAGAGGCCCUCAAGGGUGACUGGGCAGAUAUGAGGCCCUUCCCUGGAAGCUAAAAUGGUAGGAGAGGUGACCAGGGCUGGGAUUAAGGGCCCAGCAGAUAUCAGGGUUUGGAGGCCAGGGUUGGGUGUAGAAACCUAUAGCCUGGGUCCAAUGAUGGGUUAUGACUAGGUUUGGAGGCAGCUCUGCAGUAAGGAGGCUCUUCUCAGCCAAUAGGACUUAAGAGAAUUCAUCUAUUUGGUCAAUUGGUGGGUGAGGACCAGCCCAGCCUGCUUUUCUGGGCAUCAUUCCUUUUGUUUCUCUUCCUUUCCUGGUCCUUUAUGCUUCUAGUGCCUGUUUUCUGUUGUGGCUACAGGGUGAAGUAAUUUGGGAGAAGGCCCUGGGUUCAAAUUUCAAAUCCUUUUCUGCUAUGAGCUUCAGAUUUUCUGCUUGGGGAAGAGUCUGACUUGGUCCCAGUAAUUUUCCAAAAUGACAGAGACCAAAGUUGAGUUCAGUUCCUUAGAGAUUCUCUUAUCUCUGAUCCAGCUCCUGGGACAAAGGAGAUCAGUGAGGAGAGGGUGAGACUGGAGAUUGCAGGAAGAACUGGGAGAAAACAAGCCUGUAAGGGUCAGAGGCUUCCUGGGGCAUAGGGAUGCACUGUCGUCAUCAUCAAAAACAUUCUUCCCAUUACUGAGCUCCUACCAUGUGCUAAGGAUUGUACAGGGCUCUUUUCAUAUGUUGUCUUGUGGUGAUCCGCACAGCAGCCUUCAAGUGGGUUAUUACCACCCCAUUCUAUUUUAUUGUUAUUUUUUGAGAUAAGAUUGCUCGAUCUGGAGCGCAGUGACACAAUCACAGCUAACUGCAGC